AGUGAACGCUGGCGGUAGGCCUAACACAUGCAAGUCGAACGGCAGCACAGUAAGAGCUUGCUCUUACGGGUGGCGAGUGGCGGACGGGUGAGGAAUACAUCGGAAUCUACUUUUUCGUGGGGGAUAACGUAGGGAAACUUACGCUAAUACCGCAUACGACCUACGGGUGAAAGCAGGGGAUCUUCGGACCUUGCGCGAUUGAAUGAGCCGAUGUCGGAUUAGCUGGUUGGCGGGGUAAAGGCCCACCAAGGGGACGAUCCGUAGCUGGUCUGGGUGGAUGAUCAGCCACACUGGAACUGAGCCACGGACCAGAGUCCUAAGGGAGGCAGCAGUGGGGAAUAUUGGACAAAGGGCGCAAGCCUGAUCCAGCCAUCGCGCGUGGGUGAAGAAGGCCUUCGGGUUGUAAAGACGUUUUGUUGGGAAAGAAAAGCAGCAGGUUAAUACCCCGCUGUUCUGACGGUACCCAAAGAAUAAGCACCGGCUAACUUCGUG
rnacentral:rRNA from 1 species